rnacentral:lncRNA from 1 species
CAAUGCUCCGCAAAACUGAGGUUGGGCACGUCGUUCUUCUGAAGCCCUUCACUCCGAGAACUUAACUGACUUGCCGGGCGGGCUUCGUCUAGGAGG